AAAAGUACCCUUAUCCCUUAUGAAAAAGUUAAAAGUGUGUAGUGUGAAAUUGAAUAGUAGCUGAUGUAUAUCACUACUCCUACUCAAAUAGAGAAACUCUACUCGGCAGCCGGUUUAAAAUUCUUACACCGCACACGUGAUGUGGCCAACCCGGUCUGGGCUCCACAUCACGGUUCUUAGCUUACUCGAGCCGAUUUGAUUUCCUCCCCUGAAACAUGCGAUUUCCUCCACUGAAACAGGCGACGAUUUCCUCCACUGAACAUCUGAAACAUCCUCUCCUCAUGCCCAGCCGAUUUCAUCCACAGAAAGCUUUCCUCUCUCUCUCUCUCUCUCUCUCUCUCUCUCUCUCCCCUCUCUCUUGUGCUUCUCCCGUGCUCUUCUCUGUGAUUCUAGGGCAAAUUCGUCCCUUGCGAACUCAAGUCGACUUCGAAUAGAGACCGUGCCUGCAUCCAAAUCUGUGGCCACGCCAACGGUAAGUCUCCACAAACAUAACAUGGUUUUUGGUUCUCCUGUACUGUUACGAGGUAAACUAGUUUCUAUGGUUUAAACUGAUUUUUUGUUGGUGAGGCAUGAUUGAAGUUUGUGGUUGUGUAUAGGUUUUGUAUGGAGGUUGUUUUCUGUAAAUUUUUGCAUGAAUUCUUGAAUUUUUGUUGUCGCCCAUCAGCUGUUUGAUAUUGGACCUGAGAUAUAACCCUCUCAUAAUUUUCAGUACGUAUGCUUCUUUCUAAGAAGUGCUUAUUUAUGCCAAAUUUAGUGAAUCUGCUUUGAUCCUUCAGUAUUCUUUAUAUAUGAUCACUCUGUGUAUCCACGUUGCUUGUGCAUUACUUAUGUCUGGAGAAAAUCUUGAAAAUCAUAUUAAUGUGAAGAACAUUUUGGUCGAAAUGGGAAUUUAUUUUCAUGUACAGGUAAUUGUUUGUUGCAAAAAGGAAUCCAUCUUUCAUUUGAUUGCUGAAAAACUGUGAAGACACAAGUAUAUACCUGAAGCGUUACAGCUGCUGUUUCAACAGCAAAUUAUAAUAGCCAAGUUUUUCUUUCUUUUCCCAUGUCUUGUCAGCAAAUGUAGAUAUGUCUAUGUUCGUGUAUGGAUGUAUAUUUGUAAAUUUGCAAUUUUUUUAUGGAUAAUUUCCCAAAGCUUCUGUGGCAGUGUUAAUGAUACUCUGUUCUGUAGGAUGAGUACACAGAUUGUUUUGGUGCUCUUGAAGUGGUCAGUAAGAGUACGAGAGUGAGAAUUACGAGAAGCUUGUAAAAUCCUUGAAGCUCAUACAAGCGAAUCAAUCCAUGUAUGUAUAACUGCUGGGUUGUUGCAGCAGGCCUAAGACAGUUGAAGAAAUCCUAAAAAUAGAUAUGAAACCUGGUUGGAAGAAGGGCAUGAAAAAUAGAUAUGAAACCUGCUUGUCAUCAUGUAGUCAUACUCAAAAAGAUAAUUUUGAGUCUGAUCAUCAUGGAUGUGUGUGAGAUUAAUCAUUUAUUGAUUAAUGUCUUUGCUUUGUUUUCAUCAUGGAUGUGUGUGUGAUUAAUCAUUUCUACAUGUAAAUUUGCAUGAACCAAAUUCGAUUUUACCACAUGGUCGUUUUGAAA